AUUGAACGCUGGCGGAAUGCUUUACACAUGCAAGUCGAACGGCAGCAUAGGUGCUUGCACCUGAUGGCGAGUGGCGAACGGGUGAGUAAUACAUCGGAACGUGCCCAGUCGUGGGGGAUAACGUAGCGAAAGUUACGCUAAUACCGCAUACGAUCUAAGGAUGAAAGCGGGGGACCGUAAGGCCUCGCGCGAUUGGAGCGGCCGAUGUCAGAUUAGGUAGUUGGUGAGGUAAAGGCUCACCAAGCCGACGAUCUGUAGCUGGUCUGAGAGGACGACCAGCCACACUGGGACUGAGACACGGCCCAGACUCCUACGGGAGGCAGCAGUGGGGAAUUUUGGACAAUGGACGCAAGUCUGAUCCAGCCAUUCCGCGUGCAGGACGAAGGCCUUCGGGUUGUAAACUGCUUUUGUUACGGAACGAAAAGACUCUUACUAAUACUAGGAGUCCAUGACGGUACCGUAAGAAUAAGCACCGGCUAACUACGUGCCAGCAG
rnacentral:rRNA from 1 species